rnacentral:rRNA from 1 species
UGCAGAGGGUGCAAACGUUGUUCGGAAUUACUGGGCGUAAAGCGUGUGUAGGCGGCCACGCAAGUCAGGUGUGAAAGCCCCGGGCUCAACCCGGGAAGUGCACUUGAUACUGCGUGGCUCGAGUAUCGGAGAGGUUGGUGGAAUUCUCGGUGUAGAGGUGAAAUUCGUAGAUAUCGGGAAGAACACCAGUGGCGAAGGCGGCUAACUGGUCCAGCACUGACGCUGAGGUGCGAAAGCGUGGGGAGCAAACAGG